UAAAAUAGCAUAAUCUAAAUUGAAGUACGAAAUUAGUAUUCGAAUUUAAUGAUUUUUUUGUAAGUCUGUCCAAAGGAAUCGUCAAGAUCAUCUGAUGUGAAACUCUGUAUCUUUCGGUCGAAAUGUAUGACAAAAGAGGAAGAGAGACGAUACUAGAGAUGGCGAUACUCGUGGAUAGAUUGAGACAGACUGUCUAGUCGCGCUCUAGACUGUGCCGCCGCAUUGGGGCAUGCAACGCGCGACUGCGAGCGUGGGGCAGCUCUUUAUUGAAAUACUUUUGCGAGUGAUGAUGAUGUUGCGGGCGUGUGGAUCACGACUGUCUGAGAGAGGGAGGCAACCAACUCGACCGAUAUAUAUUAAUUAAUUAUAAAGCAAGCAGAGAAGAGAGACAAGACCAAAAGAAGACAAAGAAGACGACGAUGAGAAGAGGGGCAUAACGUGCACGAAGUGAAAUGCGCCGCUGCGUUCAAGGAGCAGGACCAGCAGGAGGCAACCGCAGAGAGAGACAAAGAGAGAGAGAGAGAGAUGAGCAGCGCCUGGGGCCAUCAACAGGCAGCCAAGGCAGCUCAGUGUCGUCAAGAGCGAGAACCCGAAGCCGACCUCAACUCGAAGUUGAAGCUGUAGCUGAAGUUGAAACUGAAGCUGAAGCCUGGGCAGCCCCGGCACGUAAAUUAGGAUAACAACGUGAAACAUAAUUAUUACUUUGGACAGAUAUGGCAACCUCCAAUGCGCCUGCGCUUCUCAACUUCAACUUCAACUUC